CGGAAUGUGGCGUAGUGGAAGCGUAUCUAUUUUGGGAAUAGAAGGUCAUAUGUUCAAAUCAUAUCAUUCCGA
rnacentral:tRNA from 1 species